UUUAAUACCGUCUGUUUGGUCUCUCCUCCAGCCUUUCUCCUGGGCCUCUGUCACCAGUAAGAACCUUCCCCCUAGCGGCCUUGUCCCAGUCUCUGGCAUCCCCCCCCACGUCGUCAAAGUUCCCUCGGCACCGCCCAGGGUGGAGGUGAAAACAGAAGCCGCAGCACAGAGAACACAGCCGAGAGGAGACCAGAGACCACGGGAAGCGAGGCCAGGCCCCCCACCAGUCAGAGGACCCCGACCAGGAGUGGGAAGGGAAGGAGAGCAGGGAGAGUCGUCGGAGGUUGGCCGUGUGGUGCGGUAUCCAGACGCUCACCAGCUCUUUGUAGGAAACGUUCCCCAUGAUGUGGACAAGGCAGAGCUCAAGGAGUUUUUCCAACAGUAUGGUACUGUGCUUGAGCUACGGAUCAACAGCGGAGGAAAGUC